rnacentral:rRNA from 1 species
UACAGAGGUCUCAAGCGUUGUUCGGAAUUACUGGGCGUAAAGGGUGCGCAGGCCGCGCGGGCAGUCAAAUGUGUAAUUCAGGGGCUCAACCCCUGCACUGCGCUUGAUACUUCCGCGCUCGAGCUUUGGAGAGGAGUCUGGAAUUCUCGGUGUAGCAGUGAAAUGUGUGGAUAUCGAGAAGAACACUUAGGGCGAAGGCAAGACUCUGGACAAAUGCUGACGCUCAUGACACGAAGCUAGGGUAGCGAACGGGG